GCGGGGGUGCCUGAGUCAGGAAAAAGGGCACGGUUGAGGGCCGUGUGGCUAAGUGCCUACGAGGGUUCAAAUCCCUUCCUCCGCA
rnacentral:tRNA from 1 species